UUUUUGAAGAGUUUGACCCUGGCUCAGGAUGAACGCUAGCGGAACGCCUAACACAUGCAAGUCGAACGAAUUCUGCGUUGUAGCAAUACAUAG
rnacentral:rRNA from 1 species